rnacentral:rRNA from 1 species
AGCGAACGCUGGCGGCAGGCCUAACACAUGCAAGUCGAACGAACCUUUCGGGGUUAGUGGCGGACGGGUGAGUAACACGUGGGAACGUGCCUUUAGGUUCGGAAUAACUCAGGGAAACUUGUGCUAAUACCGUAUGUGCCCUUCGGGGGAAAGAUUAAUCGCCUUUAGAGCGGCCCGCGUCUGAUUAGCUAGUUGGUUGAGGUAAUGGCUCACCAAGGCGACGAUCAGUAGCUGGUCUGAGAGGAUGAUCAGCCACAUUGGGACUGAGACACGGCCCAAACUCCUACGGGAGGCAGCAGUGGGGAAUCUUGCGCAAUGGGCGAAAGCCUGACGCAGCCAUGCCGCGUGAAUGAUGAAGGUCUUAGGAUUGUAAAAUUCUUUCACCGGGGACGAUAAUGACGGUACCCGGAGAAGAAGCCCCGGCUAACUUCGUG